AUUGAACGCUAGCGGGAUGCUUUACACAUGCACGUCGAACGAGUGGCGGACGGGUGAGUAAUCUAUCGGAACGUGCCCAGUAGCGGGGGAUAACUACUCGAAAGAGUGUCUAAUCCCGCAUCCUAUUGUAGCGGCCGAUAUCGGAUUCGCUAGUUGGUGGGGUAAAGGCUCACAAAGGCAAAGAUCCUGAGCUGGUUUGAGAGGACGACCAGCCACACUGGGACUGAGACACGGCCCAGACUCCUACGGGAGGCAGCAGUGGGGAAUGUUGGACAAUGGGGGAAACCCUGAUCAAGCCAUCCCGCGUGUAUGAGAAGGCCUUCGGGUUGUAAAGUACUUUUGGCAGAGAAGCGGUAUCUGCAGAAGAAGCACCGGCUAACUACGUGCCAGCAGCCGCGGUAAUAC
rnacentral:rRNA from 1 species